CUCUCCUGUCAAAUCAGGCUUACAAACAGCUUGGCAUACAAACAGUUACUGCUUGUGUGCAGGCGGAUUUAGGGUCCCCGUCUGAUAAUGCCCCAGAUUUAAUGAGAUAUUUGGAUGAGUUGACACCGAAUGAAUUUCCUGAGUUGACAUCAUGAGACACUUUUUGCCUUUUUGGCUUGUCAGAAGCAAGACAGGACGUGUGAUGUGAAGGAGAAUGGAUAGAACCGUGAUGGGAGGGAGGAAAUCUGAGUCCCCUUUGCCUGAUCUUCUUCCUGGGGGCAGCAGUCGUGGUGGAGGGAUGGAUACCUGCCUUCCCUCCUCCCACCUGGAAAGACACUGAACACUGAGAAAAUGAUUUUUCUCCUCUCGACUAGGCAAAAGCAGACUGAGGACAGGUUUAGG
ensembl:lncRNA